rnacentral:hammerhead_ribozyme from 1 species
CACUGCUGACGAGUCUCAAACAGGAGGAAACAGACGUCCAGUGG